rnacentral:rRNA from 1 species
UACGUAGGGGGCAAGCGUUGUCCGGAUUUAUUGGGCGUAAAGAGCGUGUAGGCGGCCAGGUAGGUCAGCUGUGAAAACUCGAGGCUCAACCUCGAGACGUCGGUGGAAACCACCUGGCUAGAGUCCGGAAGGGGAGAGUGGAAUUCCUGGUGUAGCGGUGAAAUGCGCAGAUAUCAGGAAGAACACCCGUGGCGAAGGCGGCACACUGGGCCGAUACUGACGCUGAGGAGCGAGAGCGUGGGGAGCGAACAGG